AUGAACGCUGGCGGCGUGCCUAAUACAUGCCAGUCGAGCGCACGGACGAGAAGCCUGCUUCUCUGAUGUUAGCGGCGGACGGGUGAGUAACACGUGGAUAACCUACCUAUAAGACUGGGAUAACUUCGGGAAACCGGAGCUAAUACCGGAUAAUAUUUUGAACCGCAUGGUUCAAAAGUAAAAGACGGUCUUGCUGUCACUUAUAGAUGGAUCCGCGCUGCAUUAGCUAGUUGGUAAGGUAACGGCUUACCAAGGCAACGAUGCAUAGCCGACCUGAGAGGGUGAUCGGCCACACUGGAACUGAGACACGGUCCAGACUCCUACGGGAGGCAGCAGUAGGGAAUCUUCCGCAAUGGGCGAAAGCCUGACGGAGCAACGCCGCGUGAGUGAUGAAGGUCUUCGGAUCGUAAAACUCUGUUAUUAGGGAAGAACAUAUGUGUAAGUAACUGUGCACAUCUUGACGGUACCUAAUCAGAAAGCCACGGCUAACUACGUG
rnacentral:rRNA from 1 species